rnacentral:tRNA from 1 species
UGGGGCGUCGCCAAGCGGUAAGGCACCGGGUUUUGAUCCCGGCAUACGUUGGUUCGAAUCCAGCCGCCCCAGCCA